ACAAUUUCAUCGAGGAAGUCGAGUACUCUAUCUGCCUUGGGGCAAAUUACUGGCUUCACCUCAAUCCAUUUGGUAAAUUUGUCAAUUGCCACAAGUACUCGGUGUAAUCCUCCAGGCGCCAUGGGCAGUGGGUAAAUCAUGUCUAGUCCCUAGCAUGCGAAGGGCCAAGAGGGUGGUAUGGUGAUCAGCUUGUAGGUAGGGACGUGCUGUUGCUU
rnacentral:lncRNA from 1 species